UAUUGGACAAUGGGCGAAAGCCUGAUCCAGCAAUGCCGCGUGAGUGAUGAAGGCCCUAGGGUUGUAAAGCUCUUUUACCCGGGAAGAUAAUGACUGUACCGGGAGAAUAAGCCCCGGCUAACUCCGUGCCAGCAGCCGCGGUAAUACGGAGGGGGCUAGCGUUGUUCGGAAUUACUGGGCGUAAAGCGCACGUAGGCGGCCUUGUAAGUCAGAGGUGAAAGCCUGGAGCUCAACUCCAGAACUGCCUUUGAGACUGCAUCGCUUGAAUCCAGGAGAGGUCAGUGGAAUUCCGAGUGUAGAGGUGAAAUUCGUAGAUAUUCGGAAGAACACCAGUGGCGAAGGCGGCUGACUGGACUGGUAUGACGCUGAGUGCGAA
rnacentral:rRNA from 1 species